CCUACGGGAGGCAGCAGUGAGGAAUUUUCCGCAAUGGGCGAAAGCCUGACGGAGCAAUACCGCGUGAGGGAUGAAGGAUUUUGGUCUGUAAACCUCUUUUCUCAAGAAAGAAGUUCUGACGGUACUUGAGGAAUAAGCAUCGGCUAACUCCGUGCCAGCAGCCGCGGUAAUACGGGGGAUGCAAGCGUUAUCCGGAAUGAUUGGGCGUAAAGCGCCUGUAGGUUGUUUAUUAAGUCCGUUGUUAAAGCCUAGGGCUCAACCCUAGAAAAGCAAUGGAAACUAGUAGACUAGAGUAUGGCAGGGGUUAGAGGGAAUUUCUAGUGUAGCGGUGAAAUGCGUAGAUAUUAGAAAGAACACCGGUGGCGAAAGCGCUCUACUGGACCAUUACUGACACUCAGAGGCGAAAGCUAGGGUAGCAAAAGGGAUUAGAUACCCCUGUAGUCCUAGCCGUAAACGAUGGAUACUAGAUGUUGUGCAUUAUGUACAGUAUCGUAGCUAACGCGUUAAGUAUCCCGCCUGGGGAGUACGCUCGCAAGGGUGAAACUCAAAGGAAUUGACGGNNGNGAAUGCGAGNGACACGAGGGAG
rnacentral:rRNA from 1 species